rnacentral:pre_miRNA from 15 species
AAUGCAGUGGAAACCUUUCCAAACAAAUAUGGAUAUCAGUGUGCAGAAAUGCUUCUGCUGAACU